CGCAUCUGUGCAUGCAGCAUAUCAAUAAGCGGAGGAAAAGAAACUAACAAGGAUUCCCCUAGUAACGGCGAGUGAAGCGGGAAGAGCUCAAAUUUGAAAUCUUAAAGGGUUUCCCUUUACGAAUUGUAGUUUAAAGAAGUGUUUUCUGUUGAGGUUUUGGUAAAAGUUCUUUGGAAUAGGACAUCAUAGAGGGUGAGAAUCCCGUAUUUGACCUUUACUUUCAACUUUGUGAUACACUUUCAAAGAGUCGGAUUGUUUGGGAAUGCAGUCCAAAAUGGGUGGUAAAUUUCAUCUAAAGCUAAAUAUUGGCGAGAGACCGAUAGCGAACAAGUACCGUGAGGGAAAGAUGAAAAGAACUUUGAAAAGAGAGUUAAACAGUACGUGAAAUUGUCAAAAGGGAAGCGUUUGACACCAGUGUUGUUUUUCUGAAAAUCAAUUAAAGAACUGUUUAUGCUAAGUUGUUUAGACUUUAUCAGCUAUCUGCUUUAGUUUUGAGCUUUUCUUUAAUGCACUUUUCAGUUAACAAGUCAACAUCAAUUUCUUUUGCUGUAAAAAAGCUUGAGGAAGGUGGCUUGAGAUUCGUCUUAAGUGUUUAUAGCCUCUUGCCUAUGCAGUCGGAGAGAUUGAGGUCUGCAGCGUAGAUCCUUCGGGGCUAAAUGCAUUUGUGCUAAGUUAUAGCAUUUUAUAGACAACUUGUUGACUAUGAUUUGUCUUGUAGCUUACUCGCUUAUGUUAUUUUACCUACGCUUAGGAUGUUGAGCGCAUGUCUCUCUCU
rnacentral:rRNA from 1 species